AAGUUCUCCUUCAGCUGCAGGUCAGGCUGUUUGAGAGAACAGAAGUGGUUGGCAGCAGCUUCCUAGGACACACACCUGAACCCACAUUCCCAGACUGCUCUGGCAAGGAUGGAAGAAGGGGAUAGAAGUUCCAUGGGAAUCUGACACACAGCAAGGGCUCACAGAAUGCACUCUGCAGCCAUGAAAGGAUACAAAGGCAGACAAAACGUUAUGGAAUGGGAAAUGCUGUGAUUCUGGAAUAUCAGAGCAGUGAUGGAUGCCGUGAGGAGAAUAUGAAAAGAAUGCUCUGGAAACUUGGACUGUGUGAGUACCUUUAUAACCAAAGCUGGAAAAAAAAGCUCUAAGCUACAGAAUUGCUACUUUGUCAGGAUGCUAAAGGAAAGAUCACAGAAUCACAGAUUUGUUAGGGUUGGAAGGACCCUCUGGAGAUCACCGUGGCCAAGGCAGAGUCACCUGGAGCAGAUGAAAUAAAAAUAGUGCCGAGGUGGGUUUGGGGUGGCUCCAGAAAAGGAGACCCCACACCCUCCCUGCCACCCUCAUGGAAAGCAGCUCUUCCUCAUGUUGAGGCGGAACUUCUGGUUUAGUUUACAGUCAUUGCUCCUCGUCCUGUCGCUGGGCACCGCUGAGGAGUCUGGCACCAUCCUCUGACACCCUCUGGAGAUAUUUUUAUUCAUUAAUGAGAUCCGUCCUCAGCGUUCCCUUCCCAGACUAACCAGGCCCAGCU